rnacentral:rRNA from 1 species
AUCGGUGAUGGAUGGGGAUGCGUCUGAUUAGCUUGUUGGCGGGGUAACGGCCCACCAAGGCUACGAUCAGUAGGGGUUCUGAGAGGAAGGUCCCCCACAUUGGAACUGAGACACGGUCCAAACUCCUACGGGAGGCAGCAGUGAGGAAUAUUGGUCAAUGGACGAGAGUCUGAACCAGCCAAGUAGCGUGCAGGAAGACGGCCCUAUGGGUUGUAAACUGCUUUUAUAAGGGAAUAAAGUGAGUCUCGUGAGACUUUUUGCAUGUACCUUAUGAAUAAGGACCGGCUAAUUCCGUGCCAGCAGCCGCGGUAAUACGGAAGGUCCGGGCGUUAUCCGGAUUUAUUGGGUUUAAAGGGAGCGUAGGCCGGAGAUUAAGCGUGUUGUGAAAUGUAGAUGCUCAACAUCUGCACUGCAGCGCGAACUGGUUUCCUUGAGUACGCACAAAGUGGGCGGAAUUCGUGGUGUAGCGGUGAAAUGCUUAGAUAUCACGAAGAACUCCGAUUGCGAAGGCAGCUCACUGGAGCGCAACUGACGCUGAAGCUCGAAAGUGCGGGUAUCGAACAGGAUUAGAUACCCUGGUAGUCCGCACGGUAAACGAUGGAUGCCCGCUGUUGGUCUGAAUAGGUCAGCGGCCAAGCGAAAGCAUUAAGCAUCCCACCUGGGGAGUACGCCGGCAA